CCUACGGGGGGCUGCAGUGGGGAAUAUUGGACAAUGGGGGGAACCCUGAUCCAGCCAUGCCGCGUGUGUGAAGAAGGCCCUCGGGUUGUAAAGCACUUUCAGUGAGGAAGAACGCCUGGUGGUUAAUACCCAUCAGGAAAGACAUCACUCACAGAAGAAGCACCGGCUAACUCCGUGCCAGCAGCCGCGGUAAUACGGAGGGUGCGAGCGUUAAUCGGAAUUACUGGGCGUAAAGCGCGCGUAGGUGGCUUGAUAAGCCGGUUGUGAAAGCCCCGGGCUCAACCUGGGAACGGCAUCCGGAACUGUCAAGCUAGAGUGCAGGAGAGGAAGGUAGAAUUCCCUGUGUAGCGGUGAAAUGCGUAGAGAUCGGGAGGAAUACCAGUGGCGAAGGCGGCCUUCUGGACUGAAACUGACACUGAGGUGCGAAAGCGUGGGUAGCAAACAGGAUUAGAUACCCCAGUAGUC
rnacentral:rRNA from 1 species